CCAGUUCGGAUUGUAGGCUGCAACUCGCCUACAUGAAGUCGGAGUUGCUAGUAAUCGCGGAUCAGAAUGCCGCGGUGAAUGCGUUCCCGGGUCUUGUACACACCGCCCGUCACACCAUGGAAGUUGGGGGCGCCCGAAGUUGCCUAAGAAAUAAGGUACCUAAGGCGAAACCAAUGACUGGGGUGAAGUCGUAACAAGGUACC
rnacentral:rRNA from 1 species